rnacentral:tRNA from 1 species
GGGCUCGUAGCUCAGCUUGGAUAGAGCAUCUAACCCCACGGUGUGCAAGCCUUCUAAACGAUAGAAGAUAGCAGGGGGUCGCGGGUUCGAAUCCCGUCGGGCCCA